GGAAGAGAAGAAAAGGAAGGAAGGAACAGAAUGCGUUUCUCAGUUAAGUGAACUGUGCUGAGAUGAAUGAAAUGAAUCUGAAAGACAACAAACAGACACCACCAUGACGGUGCGGCGCUACUCCACCGCGGCAUCGGCACCCUCAAGGCCUCGCCAUGCCGGCAAGCAGCCCCCGAGCAGCGGGCAGCUGGAGGAGCGGGGCAGGGCCGAGCCGCACGCCUGUCCCACUGCAGAGCAGCACCCCAGCGAUGUGGGCAGAGGCCUUGGGAAGGGCCCAGCCAACUGCUUCUCCAGCAGCACUUCCAGCAAAAUGAGGCUGUUCCAGGAGCACGUCCGCAGGUGCAGGGGUAAAGUAAAGGCUGUUAGUUUCCUCUUACCAACGGAUGUGUCCUAUGCUGGAAAUCAAGGUUCUUUCAAAAGCCCCCCAAAUCAGGACACCAAACAGUUAAGUACCAUCACCGAAAGGGAUAUGUGAGCUGGUGAAUUUUUAAAGGCCCGUUGAUUCUCGAGAUAAAUUGGCCUUAAAUGAUAGCUAUGUGUCAGGUUCCUUACCUGCAAAACGCUUUGGCAGGCUGCCUUGGGAGGCUCACCCGGACGGUGUUUCGGGUCACUGCCCCGUUGUUCAGCAAGGAAAUGGAAGCCACGACAAAACAGGCUGGAAGCACACGUGCCGUGAUGGAGUCGCAUGAUAGCAAAGCUCCUCCACAAAGCAGCUUCUGCUCAAUGCAUCUCAAGGCUCCCUCAGAUCAGCACUGCUUUGAACAGGAUGUUAAAGCUGGUUUUGCUAUGUUUGUCACAAAAAGCAGAAACCAAGUCACCUCUCGCGUUUGCUGAUCCCUUGGCAGGUACUUGUUGCAAAUGAUGAAGUAAGAGCUGCUAAAGGACCUGGGAGACUCUUCUGUACUUGAAACUUCGUAUUUCACAAUACCAAUACAGCAAAGCCAAGGGGGUGUCACAGAACCAGUUGACAUCACUCUGAAUUUCUGCAAAGCUUAAUGGUGACUGCUGAUGUCUGCUUCAGGUCCAACCCUACAGGAGCACGGGGGAGAAUAAGUGCUAAUCAAUAUGAAGACGUGACUGCAAACGUGUGUCUGAGCUGGUGUCCAUCAGAGAUAGCUGCACACCAGGUCAGAGCAGGAAGGAUCUCAGAUGCUCUCAGGUCCGGUGUCUGAACACAGCUCAGACAAGAAUCAUUAGCGGACAUGCAGCAAACUGGUGCAAAACUAAUGGAAGGGAAAAAAUGGCUUGUAAAAAAAGAGUGUGAUUGGUAACUUGGGUCUGGCUGUGUGAGUAAGGAUCUGUCCCACGUGGUGUUUGCUUUGACCACCAGCACUAUUUUUUAACACGCAGGCCGUACUGAUGAGUGAAUACUGCACAAAUUGUCAGUCUUAUUGUCUGCCCUCACGCUCUGGGGUCUUCAAAAGUGAAAGCAGAGAGCUGGUAGACAAAGAAACCACCAAAUGACUUUCAGUGAUGCUGUGUGUGUGUGU
ensembl:lncRNA